rnacentral:rRNA from 1 species
UACGUAGGGGGCUAGCGUUGUCCGGAAUCAUUGGGCGUAAAGAGCGUGUAGGCGGUCCGGUAAGUCCGCUGUGAAAGUCGGGGGCUCAACCCUCGAAUGCCGGUGGAUACUGUCGGGCUAGAGUGCGGAAGAGGCGAGUGGAAUUCCUGGUGUAGCGGUGAAAUGCGCAGAUAUCAGGAGGAACACCAAUGGCGAAGGCAGCUCGCUGGAACGGUACUGACGCUGAGGCGCGAAAGCCUAGGGGAGCAAACGGG